GACGAACGCUGGCGGCGUGCCUAAUACAUGCAAGUAGAACGCUGAAGAGAGGAGCUUGCUCUUCUUGGAUGAGUUGCGAACGGGUGAGUAACGCGUAGGUAACCUGCCUUGUAGCGGGGGAUAACUAUUGGAAACGAUAGCUAAUACCGCAUAACAAUGGAUGACACAUGUCAUUUAUUUGAAAGGGGCAAUUGCUCCACUACAAGAUGGACCUGCGUUGUAUUAGCUAGUAGGUGAGGUAAUGGCUCACCUAGGCGACGAUACAUAGCCGACCUGGGAGGGUGAUCGGCCACACUGGGACUGAGACACGGCCCAGACUCCUACGGGAGGCAGCAGUAGGGAAUCUUCGGCAAUGGGGGCAAACCUGACCGAGCAACGCCGCGUGAGUGAAGAAGGUUUUCGGAUCGUAAAGCUCUGUUGUAAGUCAAGAACGGGUGUGAGAGUGGAAAGUUCACACUGUGACGGUAGCUUACCAGAAAGGGACGGCUAACUACGUG
rnacentral:rRNA from 1 species